UGCAGUCGAGCGAAUGGAUUAAGAGCUUGCUCUUAUGAAGUUAGCGGCGGACGGGUGAGUAACACGUGGGUAACCUGCCCAUAAGACUGGGAUAACUCCGGGAAACCGGGGCUAAUACCGGAUAACAUUUUGCGCUGCAUGGCGCGAAAUUGAAAGGCGGCUUCGGCUGUCACUUAUGGAUGGACCCGCGUCGCAUUAGCUAGUUGGUGAGGUAACGGCUCACCAAGGCAACGAUGCGUAGCCGACCUGAGAGGGUGAUCGGCCACACUGGGACUGAGACACGGCCCAGACUCCUACGGGAGGCAGCAGUAGGGAAUCUUCCGCAAUGGACGAAAGUCUGACGGAGCAACGCCGCGUGAGUGAUGAAGGCUUUCGGGUCGUAAAACUCUGUUGUUAGGGAAGAACAAGUGCUAGUUGAAUAAGCUGGCACCUUGACGGUACCUAACCAGAAAGCCACGGCUAACUACGUGCCAGCAGCCGCGGUAAUACGUAGGUGGCAAGCGUUAUCCGGAAUUAUUGGGCGUAAAGCGCGCGCAGGUGGUUUCUUAAGUCUGAUGUGAAAGCCCACGGCUCAACCGUGGAGGGUCAUUGGAAACUGGGAGACUUGAGUGCAGAAGAGGAAAGUGGAAUUCCAUGUGUAGCGGUGAAAAUGCGUAGAGAUAUGGAGGAACACCAGUGGCGAAAGGCGACUUUCUUGGUCUGUAACUGACACUGAGGCGCGAAAGCGUGG
rnacentral:rRNA from 1 species